rnacentral:rRNA from 1 species
AUUGAACGCUGGCGGCAGGCCUAACACAUGCAAGUCGAGCGGAUGAGGGGAGCUUGCUCCCUGAUUUAGCGGCGGACGGGUGAGUAAUGCCUAGGAAUCUGCCUGGUAGUGGGGGAUAACGUUCCGAAAGGAACGCUAAUACCGCAUACGUCCUACGGGAGAAAGCAGGGGACCUUCGGGCCUUGCGCUAUCAGAUGAGCCUAGGUCGGAUUAGCUAGUUGGUGAGGUAAUGGCUCACCAAGGCGACGAUCCGUAACUGGUCUGAGGGGAUGAUCAGUCACACUGGAACUGAGACACGGUCCAGACUCCUACGGGAGGCAGCAGUGGGGAAUAUUGGACAAUGGGCGAAAGCCUGAUCCAGCCAUGCCGCGUGUGUGAAGAAGGUCUUCGGAUUGUAAAGCACUUUAAGUUGGGAGGAAGGGCUGCUGGUUAAUACCCUGCAGUUUUGACGUUACCAACAGAAUAAGCACCGGCUAACUUCGUG